AGAGUUUGAUCCUGGCUCAGAAUCAACGCUGGCGGCGUGCCUAACACAUGCAAGUCGAACGAGAAAGUGGAGCAAUCCAUGAGUAAAGUGGCGCACGGGUGAGUAACACGUGACUAACCUACCCUUGAGUGGGGGAUAACCUAGGGAAACCUGGGCUAAUACCGCAUAAUACCUUCGGGUCAAAGCAGCAAUGCGCUUGGAGAGGAGUUCGCGGCCGAUUAGUUAGUUGGCGGGGUAAUGGCCCACCAAGACGAUGAUCGGUAUCCGGCCUGAGAGGGCGCACGGACACACUGGAACUGAAACACGGUCCAGACUCCUACGGGAGGCAGCAGUGGGGAAUUUUGCGCAAUGGGGGAAACCCUGACGCAGCAACGCCGCGUGGAGGAUGAAAUAUCUUGGUAUGUAAACUCCUUUCGAUGGGGAAGAUUAUGACGGUACCCAUAGAAGAAGCCCCGGCUAACUUCGUGCCAGCAGCCGCGGUAAUACGAGGGGGGCAAGCGUUGUUCGGAUUUAUUGGGCGUAAAGGGUGCGUAGGCGGUUUGGCAAGUCUGAUGUGAAAUCUAUGGGCUCAACCCAUAGUCUGCAUCAGAAACUGCCGGGCUUGAGUAUGGGAGAGGUGAGUGGAAUUUCCGGUGUAGCGGUGAAAUGCGUAGAUAUCGGAAGGAACACCUGUGGCGAAAGCGGCUCACUGGACCAUAACUGACGCUGAUGCACGAAAGCUAGGGGAGCAAACAGGAUUAGAUACCCCUGUAGUCC
rnacentral:rRNA from 1 species